CACCUGUGAGACCAGAAAUGGCUUCCCUGGGGACUGAGAGAGCCCACAGAGCUCUUCCUGCUGCUUCCUCUACUCCUGUAUUUUGCUCGGCUCUCUGAAUUAUCUCAGCUCCAGCUUCUUUUAGUGAUUCAUGUGGUUUUAGAGAAGCUGAGGCCAUUAUUGCUCCAGAGAUGGGACACAUGACCUACACAAGUCUAUCAGUACAUCCCAGCAAUCUGGCUACAGUGAUUGGUUUCCGGUGGGCAUGUGAGCUAAUCCAGACCAGUCAGACCGAAUCCUAGGUCUUCUUCUUGGAGUUGGAGGACAAAGAAAGAUCACUCUGGAUGCGGUGAGGAAAGCACCAGCGGGGUGGCGAGCAUGGAAACUGGAGGCUAAUGCAACAGUGUGUUAAAACUGUGACCUAUCAAUUUGGAAGUCAAGAAGCUGUGAGCUGUGAGAAGAGAAGUUUCAGGAGGAAACAAGCAGGUGCCCUGUGGCACAGACAGAAAAGUGCAUUACCAACCUCAUGAUCAUGAUGGCCCAAGGAGACCUUCUCUCGAUUGUGAAGGGUGGAAAGAGAGAAAACAGCAGGAAAGGCCAGGUCAUGGCAUGAGUGCUGACCCAAGAAGUGAAGAUAAUCAGCCUGGAAGGAUGGCAUACGUGCUUCAAAUCUGCUUUCAAAAAACUGAAUAAUGUAUGUUUCUCUAUUGACUCUAAAUUUUGGAGCUCUAGCUUACUCAAAUUGCUUGUGUUGAGUAUCUGGAAAAGCACUAGAAAGGUGGUAAAAAUACUUCACGUGUAUCAACCCCUGACAUUCUGCAGUGGAUGCUAUACAGAAGAAUAAGGUGGGGAAAGGCUACAAAAGCAGGAGAAGUCUCCUGAUGCCUGAAGGGACCCAAGGGAUGGUCCCCACCUGGGCUGGCUGAAUGGGUUCGAGUUGCAGCUUGGCAGCUGCUCACAUUCUGUCUCCCAGACAUCUCCUUUUGCUGAGGUAUGUGGACUUAGAGGAUGGCUUGAAGAGAUGGUUUCUCAGUGUUUUAGUACUUAGUGGACUGGUUACUACUGUACUGUAAUAUGCCCACAUCCAGAACUGGGUUAAGACCCUGAAUCUUUCAUAUCUAACUACCUUUGACUUGAUUUCUUUUCUUUGUGAAUCAAGAACAACCUAUCACCUUUUGCCUUUAGUGGUGUACUGUCUGUUCUACCUUUAAUCAUUUCACUAACAGUUUUGGUAUCAUAUUCUCCUGAUGCAUUAAGAACUUCUUAUACAAUGAAGUUUUCUGGGUCUUCAUCUCUACUAAUAUAACACCAGGUGUAAUUGGGCUCUUCACUACUGUUAGAAAGGAAAAAAAAGCAAGCCUAGUUUUUAAAUGUAUAAUUCACACAUGAAUACCUCCUCUCUAUCCAUAUACUUAAUUAUAGAUUGUAAAACUAAUUAUGUACACUUUGGCAUUUCCCUCUGAUGCUCCUUCAGAUAUUCUACAUUCAUCUUCACAACAUCUUUGUAAGGUAUGACCAAAAGAUCAAUUAUUUUCCUCUAAUGGAAAGAAGAAAUGGAAAGUAGUUUGCCAAGGUCACUCAUCGUUAGUGCUGGAACUUGGUGGCCUGAAGCUCAGGUCUCAUGAUUGCUGCUCCAGUGCUCAAUCCAGGAAGUCAUGUUGCCUCCCCAACCAAGUUGGUACCUUGGGAGUGGCUCUAGGUCAGAUAAGCAGGCAGACCUCCACCUGAGGCAUUUACCAAGUAUAUUAGUCCAUUUUCACACUACUGAUAAAGAUAUACCUGAGACUGGGCAAUAUACAAAAGAAAGAGGUUUAAUGGACUUACAUUGCACAUGGCUUGGGAGGCCUCACAAUCAUGGCAGAAGGCAAGGAGGAGCAAGUCAUGUCUUACAUGGAUGGCCUCAGGCAAAGACAGUGCUUGUGCAGGGAAACUCCCCUUUAUAGAACCAUCAGAUGUCAUGAGACUUAUUCACUAUCAGGAGAACAGCAUGGAAAAGACCUGUCUCCAUGAUUCAAUUACCUCCCACUAGGUCCCUCCCACAACACAUAAAAAUUCAAGACGAUACCUGGGUGGGGACACAGCCAAACAAUAUCAGCAAGCCAGAGAGGAUGCAACCAAGUGCAUGGUCAAACCUGUUCUCACCCUUCAACCAGAAAGCAGCAUAUACGCAAUAGAUUACACAACAAUCAAGAAGCAGCCCCCAUCUCCAUCCAGUGCAACAGACCAUGCUGGAGCACCUCUGCCUUAUAAAGCCCUUGUUGUUACAAUGAUAGCAAAAGCAGAGGUGCUAUGUCACAUUAAUGGCAUAGUCAGUCACAUUAAGCUCCUUAAAAAUAAAGUUUAAUAUAUGUAAGGCUCUAAGGUAUUUCUCAUGGCUCAUCCCAUUUAAUCCUUACAAAAAAUUAUGAGGUAAAUAUAAUAACCCUGAUAUAGAACUGGCAAGUGCCAGAGUGAGGUUCUAAACCCAGUUCUGUUCACUCUACCCUCCCAUUGCUAGAGCCGGAGGCUGCAUGAAGGUGGGAUGUCACAAAGCAGGUCACUACCACUUUUGGGGACAGGAGAGACAAACUCGAGUAAAUGACUCUUAGAGGCCAGCUCAGUAGAGAAGAGCAAGCAAAGUGGAACAAAUGGCCCUUGAGUUACCUCUCGACUGUGGUACUAAUUUAACUUUGUGACCUUGGCAUAGUCAAGCCCAGUGACAAAGUGAUUCCAUAGCCAUACAAAUGAUUUCUGACUAAAAUGGGCACCUGGAGGGUGAAAAAUAAUGAAUUUCCAUAUGAAUGAGCGGAUUAUGGGAUACGCCUCUCCAGUGGGCUGGGCCUCACUCUCACUUUUUGUCACUCUUUUCUCCUCAUCACUGCUGCACUUUUAAGGGCCUUGAAUAACCCCUGCAUUCUAGAUAUACACUCCAGUGUAAAUAUGCAGAACAUUUUGACACUUAAAAAUAUGUCCAUAGCGAAGUAGGACAGGUUGGAAUUAUAGUAGCCUGGAGGCAUAAGGAAGAGAAAGGAGUAAUACUUUACUUUCUGAAGUUACAAGGAAUAGUUUUACCAGCCAAUUGCUGCAGAGGGAGGAUAAAAUUACUAAUCAAAUCAACAAAUGCAUAGGCUAGAAAACAAAUAAAUUAUUUCAGCACUAUUUCAGAAACCCAUGUUUCAUCAAUGAUAAAUCACUAAGUAGAAGGGAAGCUAUGAGUACUGUACUUAUUUUAAAGACUCAAAAUAUGACUCAAUAUCUUCAUGGAGUGAUAUAUUCAUUUAUUCAACAGUGAACCAUCAUAAUAUAUGAAUGGGUAUACCGCAUUUACAUAUAAUAUGCCAGGCAGUGAUAAAUCAGAACUACGAACACCCACUGCCUCAGUUCCCCGAUGAUAGCCUCAACUAAUUUCUGCCUGAUAAAGCAAACAAGUAAACAAAAUGAUUGUUCCGGUUUCCUAAAGAGUCUUGUACUGAAUCCUCACCGUGAAAUUAAAUUUCGCGAAAGGCUGAUGUGCCGUGUUUAUGAUGCCCGCCUCUUAACUGACAGAGGGCUGUGGGUGUAAUAAGGAUCCUUAAUGCCCGGGGAGAUUAAGAGAUUGUUACAAGUUUACCCCAAAGCCAGUGUCAGAGAACUGGAUCUUUAUAGCAUGAUUUCAUGACUUUGUGAGAAUACACUCUCAAAAUGUUGCACAGAGCACAUUCAGCUUAAUUCCAAAGCCAAACAUAAGUACUUGGGAUUAUCUAUGGCUCGGCUGCCCUUCAUUAAUGCAAAUAAUUAAAAGCUGAGUGUAAACACAGAGGCACAUGGACUGCUGAGAUAAAGCGAGAGAUCUGCACUCUCUUCAGCCAUUCUGUUUUCUUUUGUCUUUUUGGUUAUUUGGAUGUUUACAGAGCUCUCCCCAUUUGCUCCACUAAAUGCCUGCUGAAGGACAGGACAGGUAGUUUCAUUCCCAUUGUGUAAAUGAGCAACUUCAGGCUGUAAGGGACACGAACUUGUCCAAGGUCAUUCAGAAAAGAGCAAAAACCAGAAUAGAUUUCAGAGUUCCUAUUUCGUAGUGCAGGCUUUUUCUGCUAUACCUUCUCCAUGGCAUGUUUUUCAGAAUGCACCAAUAGUUGGCACCAUCGAUCAUGCAACAAGUGUUUACUCAGAGCUCACUGCAUGCGUGAGACUAUUUUAGGUACCACAGAUAGAAUGAUGAACAACAAAAAGACCCAGCCUUUCUGACACUAAGAGAUUGAUAAUGCAAUAUGUAAACCACAAAGUUUUAUUCUUUUUUUUCUUUCAGCUUUCUACUCAUAGGGGAAAUUAAUACAAUUGCAGGAUUAACUUUGAACACAGAAGAUGAUAAAAAGAAGAUUGCUUACAUAUUUGUGAAAGUCCUGUUCUCUUGCUCUUGAAAUUGGCUAGGGGCACAUGAUAGGAUAUGAUUUGCUUUUUAAAUAAUGCAUAUGUAAAGUGGAUCCAAAUGAAUUAUAAUUAAACAUAGAGUAUUGACCAACCAGUCUAUUAAAGUGAAUAUUAGUAAUGCUACAUUAUUUCAGUUUCUAAAAUGGAUUCUGAUAUCUUAAGAAGUUUUAUUGUAUACGUAUGAAAUAUUGAAAAACGUAUUUUGGGCAGUUGAUAAAUGAUGGCAAAUUUCAGAUAUACUCAGUUACUUUGCAAGGUAGAAUUCCAUAUAUAGGCAGCCAUUUUAAACAGUACAACAAUUGAAAUGUUUAAAUACUGUUUCUAGCCUGAACAAAAUAGCCAAAAACAAUGAGGGUUAUAAAUGGAAUAAACUGUAACAUAGCCUCAUCUACUGGAAAUUGAUGUUUCUAAUGUUUUAGCUUAGAAAACACAAAGAAUACCCUUUUGUUGAAAAAUGAUUCAUUUCUCAUGAUAGAUGUUUUUUAAAUCUUCAAUUAUUUGGUAACAUGUUGAUUUAGUAAUCACUUCCAUUGUCUUUCCUUGUUCAUAAGUGUAUCAGUCCUGAACAGCUAGAGGUGACCUCAGGAUACCACUACAGGUUUCUCUUUAAAAUAAGAAAAUAAUUGGUGGGGCCAAGGUUACAAAAGAGCUUAUAGGAAGCCUGAGAACUCUAUUUUGUUUGGGGACCAGGGAAGUGGUUGUGACUAGACAUUUUACAGUAACCAACCAUAAAACAAACACUCUUAUCGCAAUUUGCAAAUUCAAAACCUAAAAUAAUGUAUGUUUUUGGAAAACGUGAUUUUUAAAUAUAAAGACCAUCUACAAAGUGAAGCUCUAAUUUACAAGACUAGUUGGCCUAAGCCACAGAACUCCAAAUAAGAUUCUCUAACGCUAUGCACCUACCUUCCUUCCUUUCUUUCUUUCUUUGUUCUUUUAUUUUUUAUUUUAUUUAUUUAUUUUUUUAUACUUUAGGUUCUGGGGUACAUGUGCACAACGUGCAGGUUUGUUACAUAUGUAUACACAUUCUCAGCAAACUUUGUUUCUUUAAUUUGCUAAUGUUUCCUGAUGUAUGAAGUAACAGCUGCUGAAAUUCUGCAAGCCACAAAAAUACUCUUAAGCAUAAAAAUCUAUGUCCUGAUUUUCAAGGCUGAGAUGAGAACAAGUUGUUGAAUCUGAUUAUCUAAAUGGGAAAACAGGGAGUGUGAAGAGUGAAUCAAUAUUAGUCAUGGCACAAAACGGCAGCAAAAUCGGCUCCUGAAAGGUACUGCAGCUUUCCAUGAAGGCGAGGCCACUGCCACAGCACUUUUCUCAGCUUCCACCUUCUCCUUGAGAUCUGCCUCUGGAGCCAUCACUCUGGUCUUUGUGGGGGAUAAGGCCAUGAGGUUUGGCCAGAGAUGAUUCUUGUUUAAUUUCAUUUGGAUAUUCAAAGAAAAUGGGGCUAAUUUUAUUUCUAACACAGUCUUUCUUAGAGACCAAGUAUUUCAGUGUUAGUAAUUUCCCAUACCCUAUAUUUGCUCAUGAUCCACCAUAAUUUUAUGCCCCUUUGUUCUUCAUUACAUAUUCUUCAUAGGUGAUCUACCCAUGUUUGCAAACACCUGUUGUUUGGACACCAAAAUAUACAUCAUCAUCCCCUUCCUGAAUUCCAAACCUGUAUAUCCGCCUCCCUGCAAAACUUUGUCUACUGGAUGCCCAAAAUGGGCAUCUUUAUCUUCCUCUACCAGUCUGCUCUUUCUCCUGUAUUUUCUUUGAAUAUUAGCAGAUAGACUAUCACCAACAUAGUUGUCUAAAUUAGAAAUUUGGAAGUUAUUUGCAUUCUUUCUCACUUUGCCUCACCAGUUCUAUAUUUAUUCUACCUGUUUUUUAUAUGGCUAUAUUGUCCUUCCCUUUGUUCAUCCCUAUAGUGACUAUUUAAAAUUCAGAAGCUUAUAAUACCUUAUUUGCACUACCACAGCCUCCUAAAUGGCCUCCUUUCUUCUAAUCUUACUUCCCUCUAAUCUAUUCUCUAUGCUGGAAUCAAAGUCAUAUUCUAAAAUUAAAAUCGAAUUAUAUCACUUUCCCAUCUAAAAUAUUUUAAUGACAGCCUAUAAUAGAGAGUAGUGACUGUCAAUAUUUUUGUUAUUAAAGGUUCAUUCAUAUAUAUUUAAAGUAUAAGCAUGAGGCAGAGGUGGACUCAUUCUGGUUGAAGAAAGGGAGUGGAACCUCUGGACCUCCUUCAGCUCAGGUCCAUCUUGGUCUCCUCCACACCCACUCCAAGAGUCUGCAAACAGCUGGAUGGUCAUCAUAGCCUUAAGCUCCUCUGUUUACCCCUUAUACAGACUCUUAUAAACUCUACCAACCCCCAACAGCUGCAUUUAUAAGUUUCUUUUUGUCACAUCUGAAUUGACAGGAAAGAGUGACUAUGAAUAUAGAGCCCUUGGCUAUCUUUGACCACACACUUUCAUCCUUGUUCCAGCCUGGACUAUAUCUACCUAUAGCAAUAAUCCUGCUAUCGUCCUUCCCCAUAACUAUGGGGAUUCCCAUGGCCUGUCUCUUAUUUGAGAUUUCCUGUUUCCUGUUUCUCAUGAGUUCCUCUUUUUUGUUUGUUUGCCUUGUUUUUAAUUCAUUCCCUUGUUUCAUGGAAAAAAGCCUCUUGUGUUUCAUGAGAAUGUGUGUGUGUAUGUGUGGUAAAUUUUUGAAAAUCUUGUUUGCCUGAAAAUCUCUUUAGUAUAUCUUCAUGUGAUUGAUAGUAUGGUUUGGUCUAUAUUUUAAACGAAUAAUAUUUUCUUUAUAAAGUUCAACUUUAGGGACACUACCAUUGUCCUCUAGCUACUGUGGAACCAUUAAGAGAUAAAGUCAAUAAAGUCAUUCUAAUUUUUGAUCUUCUGUAGUUGACCAGUGGAUUUUUUUUCUUUAGAAGCUUGUAUCAUCUUCCUGUCCCAACUGCUCUGAAAUUUCACAGUGAUGUGCCGACAGUGGAUUUGUUUAAGCCAUUGAAGCUUUUGAGUGUGACAACUUAUGACCUGUCUUAGGAGAGUUUCUUGAAUUAUUUUCUGCUUGCCUUUUUCUAGAACUCCUAUUAUUUAGUCGUUGGAUUUUCUUAACUAUUCUUUUAACUUUUUUAUCUUUUCCUUUCUAUUUGCCUUUUCUUUCCCUUCCAGUCUUUAUGAGAAAAACAUUUUAUUGACUCAUUUAUUGAAUUCUUUAUUUCUGCUAUAAUAUUUUUAAUUUUUAUGAACUCAAUUGUAGUUUUUUUUGCAUUAUUUUAAGCAUUUCAUUCUUUUGCUGAUGUUACAAAAUAUUCUCUUAUUUCUCUUAGGAUGUUAGUGAUAGGAGUCCCCUAGACUUUUCUUGUUUCCCUACCAUCUCUGUUGCCUCUAAGUUUGUUUUAUUUAUGCUGUG